rfam:Gossypium hirsutum cultivar TM-1 unplaced genomic scaffold scaffold280.1, whole genome shotgun sequence
GGUUAAAAAUUUAAUCUAUUUUUAUUGUUAAAAAUUAACUGUGUUGUCAAAAUAAUUAGACAAAUACACAUAAGGUGUCAUGUGUACCUUAUUGUGACGUACAUGAAUAAAUUUUUAACAGUAUAAAUGAAUAAAAUUUUUCACA